CAUUUUAUACGAAUUCAGAAAACAAAUUAUAGCUUAUUUAAAAAAAAAAAAGAAGCUCAUUAGCUAAACUCUUAACACAGCAUAUUCCAUUAUCGAUCAAUCUGUUCAAAUUUGCAAACGGAUACAUGAGUUUGCACUUUAUCGAUAUUGUUCAUACUCUAUACUGAUCUAUUUACGAAAAUCAUGGCUUUGUUUAUAUAGGGGAUACUUGUUUAAUUUUUCAAGGAUUCAUAAAAACUCUUACAGAUAUCUCACCACUUGGUUUAAAUAUCAUAUGGGUUGUGUUUUCUUAGGAGUUUCUUUACCAUCAGUUAUUACGGUUGGGAAACGGCCAAUUCCAACAUCAACACUAUUAUGAUGUCCUGGAUAUGUACUGAUCACUUGUGUUAAAAUAUACAUUACUCAAAAAUAUAUUUGCAUUUGAUACAUCAACUCGUAGAAAUCGGUUUUUUUCAUACAUUGAUCCAAAAUUCAUAACUUAACCGUGUAUUGACAAUGACAUGGCAUUGACAUGUCAUAUGAAUCAACUUAAAUUAUUUGUGAAACUAUUGUUAUUUUUUUUAUCAAACUAUUGUUAAAUAUAUAAAAAAAUUAAAAAGUGUCAUUGUUUUUUUUUGGUAGGUUGCAGGGGAUAUGUCCCCUACUCUUUAUUCAAACUCAAAACAAAUUACAAGUAAACAUGACGAGGUCUAGAAACUCCAUUCGAGUCCUCCAACAAAACAGAAACAACAAACUCCGGAACAGCCUCAAAAUAAUGUAAUCCAAAUGGUAAAGAAAACACAUAGUUAGCUAAUCCAUCGGCAAGAUGAUUAGCCUCUUUAUACAUAUGAGAAACUUUGACUAGCCAGUCUUUUUAUAUGAAGCCAUAGCACAAACGUAUUAGGAACGACGGGGGAUGAAAAUCAUUAAUCCCUAUCCGAAGAAAAUCCACCACACUCUCCGAAUCAAGAGACUUAGUGAGGGUUAUUGUUCGUGAAACUAUUGUUAAAUAUAUAAAAGGAAGAAAUCAUUAUUAUUGACUGGAGUAGAACCAUGGUUGGGGGAGUGUUGUUUUAAUCAAGGCGUCAUUGUGCUAAAUCAUCUUUUGGCAAUUUAUUUCUAAUACAUUAAUAUCACCUAACGCUUUAUUAAGACCUCGACCAUAGUUUUACCCUCUUUUUCUUCUAAAAAUGCUACAUCUCUAGAAUCUCAAACCUCUCAAGUUUUAUCUCAGUUUCGACUCUCUUCAUUCUAGCUGUCUUCAUUGGAUUAGCUUAGCAUCCAACCCAUCAAAACAGCCUCGUAACUGAUCUGAAUUGCAACCUGACAACCCAUAUGGCGGAGAAUCUCGCCGUUUUCCAUGUCUACUCCUUCGCUACUUCGAGAAUAUGACCAGAGAUUAAGGAGAAACUUAUGUAUUUAAUAAAGCUUUAGGUGAUAUAUUAUUGUAAGGGAACUUAAGUACCAAAAAAUGAUGUAGCACAAUGGUGCAUGGUUUAAAUUCAUUUCCACCUAAACCAAUUUGACUCCACUCAAUCCCAAGUUUUCUUUAUUUUAAAAUUUGUAUAUACUUAACAAAAUGACGUAAAAUUUUAAGUUGAUUCAUAUGACAUGUCACUGCCACUUCAUCGUUAAUACACUCUCAAAUUACAGAUUUUGAGUCAACAUUAGUCAAUGCAUACAAAAACUGAUUUCUACGAGUUGAUGUAUGAAAUUCAAAUAUUUUUUGAGUUAGUUUAUGUUAUAGCACAGGUGAUUACUACAUGUCCGGAUUGGGACCGCAGUAGUGUUAGAUGUUGAAAUUGGCUGUUUUCCCAUUACGGUUCAUUGUCUCUCUGCUCAAAAGUAAACAGCCACGAAAUGGGUUUGUCGGGUGAGUCACUGGUAAGCUCUUUAAACUACAUAUCUCGUUCGCAGAGGAAUCAGAUGGUGUCCAUGUGAAGCAGAAAGAGAAUAAAAGAUGGAAAUAUAUUUAUAUUCGUUUUUAGUCAAACAUAAUAGAGUCUGGCCAGUAACGACUAAUCUAUGUGCGAAGGUCAAAUGGUGACAAUCCUAACACACUGACGUGUGGAAGUUUGAAAUACUAUGCACAUUGCCAUGUUACCCUACGAUGAUCGAUUGAUAACAACCGCAGGGUCCACAACUCUCUAGCCAGUUUAUUAAGCCAAUUACUGGCAAUUUGCGGGAUAUUGUACCAGAUUUUACUCAACAGAGUGAGACUAGUUUUCAAUUAUGUUUUUUUCUUUUGUUUCUUUUAUUAAAAUCAUCAAAAGAAAGUAUAUUUAUUCAUAUAACUUAUUCUAAUAAAUGUUUUGGUUAAAUGAAUUUGUAUUGUGAUAAAUGGGUUUAUUUCAAAACCGAUUUUACUAGUAACAACAAUCAAAUAAAUUGAGCAUAUAAAUUAAAUAGGACAUAAAAAAUUAUAUUAUAAAAUUAUAAGUUACUAGGAUUUUUACCGCGCUACGCGCGUUUGUUAAUUUAAAUUUGUUAAACGAUCAAUUUAAAUGUCGAACUUGUUUUGUUUGAGCUUGUACUUAUUUUACAUUAAUAUUUACUGAUUAUUUAUAAUUAAUAAAUUUUAUAUAAACAAUUCUAUUCUAUUUUAUUUAUUUUUCCAAUAAAUUUAAAAGAUUAAUUUUUUACUAUAUACCAUCUGUUGAUAUUAUAAAAUAGGUUUACUGAAACCAAAAAUUGAGAUUGAUAACUAACAAACUAAAGAGGAGUAUAUAGUUUGUUGUUAUUGUAUUUUAAAUAGUUACCUCUCCUAACUUCAUAUAUGGUAUGAUACAAUUUUUUAUUUUUUUUGUUUUCUUUUCAUUCGAAACUUCCAAUGCAUUUUCUAUAUUUGUUGUAUUAAAAUCUUCCUCAAGUCCAGUGGUUUCUCUAUAUUUAUUGCAUUAAAAUCUUCCUAAUGGUGUUAUGACCAUUACUAAUUUCAUUGCAUUAUUUUAUUAGUUUAAAAAAAUAUUGUAUAAUGUUAAUUAUUGUGAAAUUUAUAUAUUUUGGAAUUAGUGUUUAUGAUAUCUUGAAAUCUUACAAAUAUUUUAAUUUUUCAAUGACUUUUAGGCAACUAUAACAUCUGUCAUAGACUCAGGCACACAAGGAAAUAUUUUUACUAUUACCAUUGAUGACAUUUUAAAAUUCAGAAAAAAUAUAAGUAUUUCAUAAAUUUUAGAUUAACUCUUCGUUGAUCACAUUGUUAUUUACUAUUAUUUUCCUUUACUCUGCGUUAAGCAUUUUGUAUAAGUUUGAGUUUUACUGAUUAGUACUUCUUUGAUCACAUUGUUAUUUACUAUUAUUUUUGUUUACUCUGCGUUGAGCAUUUUGUAUAAGUUUAAAUUUUACUGAUUAGUACUUCGUUGAUCACAUUGUUAUUUACUAUUGUUUUUGUUUACUAUGUGUUGAGCAUUUUGUAUAAGUUUAAAUUUUACUGAUUAGUAUUUUAAAUCGUUACCUCUCCUAACUUCAUAUAUGGUAUGAUACAAUAUUUUGUUUUUUUUUUGUUUUCCUUUCAUUUGAAAUUUUCAAUGAUUUUUCUAUAUUUUUUGUAUUAAAAUAUUUCUAGUGUACAGUGAUUUCUCUAUAUUUAUUGUAUUAAAAUCUUCCUAAUGGUGUUAUGGCCAUUACUAAUUUUACUGCUUUAUUUUGAUUAGUUUAAAAAAAAUAUUGUAUAUUGUUAAUUAUUGUGAAAUUUAUAUAUUUUGGAAUUAGUGCUUAUGAUAUCUUGAAAUCUUACAAAUAUUUUAGUUUUUCAAUGACUUGUAGGCAACUAUAACAUCUGUCAUAGACUUAGGCACAUAAGAAAUAUUUUUACUAUUACCAUUGAUGACAUUUUAAAAUUCAGAAAAAUAUAAUUAUUUCAUAAAUUUUAGAUUAACUCUUUUUUGAUCACAUUGUUAUUUACUAUUAUUUUUGUUUACUUUGUGUUGAGCAUUUUGUAUAAGUUUAAAUUUUACUGAUUAGUACUCCUAACUAUCCUUUUAAAUUCAUUCUCAUUCUCAUUUGUCAAAUAUUAUAUCAAAACAAAUAAAUGAUAUAGUAUAACACAAAAAUAAAAUUAAUUGAAUUAAAAUUUGUUAUUUAUAUUUAACAUUUAAAAUAUAUAAAUUUUAUAGACAAAUAAAACAGGCCAAACAAAUCAAAUUAACACAUGAUUAGUGCAUGUUUCGAACCACACCAAUUUCAUUAUAAAAACCAUGUAAUCAAAUGCAAAAAAAUCAAUAUAUAAGAUCCAACAUCAGUAAAUAAUAAUAAAUAAAAACCACACAUAAGUAAUAGCUCAAAUCAAAAUCAUAUACAUCAUCCUUAAUCAAACCGCAACAUUCGUUGUCAACGGAUAUGCUAACGAAUAAGUCUUUCAUUACUAAUUGAUGAAUCAAUUUAACGGCAUUGUAACGCACAUGUUCCUCCGAAUCAGAAACUUCUUUGAUUGCUUCCCCUAGAUUAUUUUUCUUUUUCUCUACUUUUCUUUGUUCAGCCUCUUGUUUGUCUUAUUUCUUUUCCUUCUGUCAAAUUGAAGAGUUUGUGACUGAUUGUUGUCAAAGCAUUUAUCUCGUUAGCUUCUUCUACACCAUUUUUUUGAGUAAACAGAUCAUCAACUUUGUUAAGAGGACUAGUCUUUUGUCUCUUGCUGAUAUUACGUGUAUACGCACAGCAAUUAACCUAAUGUGCACAGUACCACAAUCGAAUGAUAUGUCGACGUAGCACUUUAGGAUCAAAUCCAGAGAGACCAACGAUUACACUUUAUUUCUAUAGGAUCAAUAUCAAGGUAAAACAAUAUGGGGGUUUUAAGAUAUGAGGGUUUCGUGAGAAACAAGUAACAAGAUUAAUUAAAGUAUUCAGACGAUUAAAAUGCUAGCCUAGGGUGGUUUGAUCGGGUGUUAAGCAAGUGUGAGCCAAACAAUUAUUCAAGUUCAAUUAAGAGCAAGUCUAGAACUCGGAUCACUCAAGUAGAACUGUCCACUGUCGUGGUACUGCUCCCUAUGCUGAUCGAUCUUGAUACCUAAACUCUCGUUUGGAUCAAGCAAGCAAUAGAGAUCAAGUUCGAUAUGUUCACAAAACACUCUAAUAUCUACUUUCGCUGAUUAGGGAUGUGAUGCUCAUUCAUAACAGAUCUAGCAACCUAUUACACAGUUAAUGAACAUGUUAAACUAGGAUCUAACAUUAAGCGGUCAGUUUAAUGCAAGCAUUAAGAAUAAUUAUGAAUGAAGACAAUAAAUGGUUUCAUUUAUAUAUGUUUAACUCACAGAUCUAACAUCCUAACACCCUAGACUAAGAAAGUUGACUAAUUAGUCAUGAACAGAGAAAACACAGAGACAAUAGAUGAAGAAAACAUGUUGAAUCAAUAAAUUCUCAAGGUGAGAGAGAUGAAGUUUAAUUAAUAUUAUUAUUUAAAAUUUUAUUUAAUAUUUAUCUAUAUAUAUACAUAUAUAUAUAUAUCAAUAUACUUAAGAUAAUUAGUAAAUAUUAACCUAUUCAACCGAUAUGUAUAUACUAAUAUUUUAAAUAUAUAUUUAAUAUAUAUAUAUAUAUAUAUAUAUUCUUAUCAUGAUAUUUAAGAAAUUUAAUUAAUAAUUGUUAUUAAAAAUUUAUAUUAACAGUAUCUACCGAUAAUAUCAUAAUUAUGUUUAUCUUAUAUUUAGUUUAUGAUUUUAAUGACUAAUGGUAUAACCGGUUUCUCUUAUUCUUAUUGAAAAUAUGAUCCACAUAAUUAUUACAUUAUUAAAAUUAAGAUUAAAGGCAAAGCAUCAAUGAAAAUAUGUAGUAAAAUAUAGUUUAUUUACUUAUGCUAAAUAUUUAUGUAUAUUUAGUAUUAAACAAUCGUAUUCCUAACCUAAAAUAAAUUAAUUUGUAUUUAUACAUAACGAACAUCAAAAUCACAAAUAUAUUUAUGUUAAUAAUGAAUGUAUCCUCAAAAUCACAAAUGAUAUCAAAAUAAUAUAUUGUCGACCAAAAUACUAAAUAUUAUAUAAUCUACAAAAUGAAAGUUAACUUACAAUUUUUUAAAAAAAAUUAUAGAAGCAUGAAAAUUUAGGAUUUAAGUAUUAAAUAACACUAAAAAUUUGACAAAUAAUAAACAUAAUAUAAAUAUAAUCUAGGAGAAAUUGCCAAAUAUGACUCAAAACUUGAUUUUAACCCCAAAAGUAUACUCCAACUUGAAUCAAAUGCAAAAGUAAUCCAAAAUGCUAGUAAAAUUACAACUAGCCCCUUAUGACCAAAUAAAAAACAAAAACUCAUUUUUACGAAUGUAACCCCGUAAAGUCUUUUGAAGUUUUGUAAGUCUUUUGAAGUUUUGUAAGUCUUCUGAGGUUCUAUAAAUCUUCUGGAAGACAUUCAUGAAGUCUUCUCGUAUAGUUGAUCUUAAAAAUAUUUUAUAAAUUUGAUAAAAAGAAUUUGAUGGGGGGGAACUGAAAUCAUGUAACUUUAAACAUUUGUAAAUGAUAUGAAUUAAGAUCGAGUAAAAUUGAAUUGUUUUUAAAAUAGAUGAAUGAAUGUAGUGUGUCAUGGUAUUCUUUGGUUAAGCAUUUGGUAACAUAUGUUGUAGUGUUGUAUGUUAAUAUUUUUUUUGAAAAAUUAAACUUUGACUUAUAUGUGUUUAGUUUUGUGUAUAUUAAACACUUUUAAAGUUGAUUUUAAGUGUUUGUUUCUAGUUGGUUAGUUAUUUUGAGUUUAGGGUUUAGGUGAGUUAAGUCUUCUAACAAAUAAUGUAUUAGAAGACUUCCGCGGAAGUCUUCUGAGCGAAUAGUAAAUUUAGGGUCUAGAAGACUUUCAAAUAAGUCUUAUAUAAAGAAAAUUUAUACAUUUUUUUUCUUCCUCUCAAAUGGCUGCAACAGAAAUGUAAUGUUUCUCAUUCUAAAACUCUUCAACCUCUCUCUAAUCUUUUUGAAUUUAAAAACACCAAACUUUAUAUCAAUUUUCGUUUUUAUCUCAUAUCUUUCUCACUGAUUUAUUUUGUUUUUGCAGGUUUUUCAUUACAUGGUUCUCAUCUUCCACUCUUUUAAAGGUAGAUCUAUAAAUCAUUUUUUUUUUAAUUUGGUAACAUCUUAUUGCUUACAGUACUUACCUUUUGAAAACUCUUUUGGUUGUUUUCCGAUGAAGAGGAGUUAUGCUUCUCUAGCAGCUGAGCAUAACCGAGGAAGAGGAAGAUUAAGGCGACAACGGUGAAACGGCAGCAGUUUCGGGUCAAGAUUUAGAUGCAUGAGAUUUGAACGGCGAACAUUUGACGGUGGUGAUCGUCGGAGUCGAAGACUAUCCGAAGCGGUAGGUGAUGUGUCCAACUUGCUUCCUCAUGAAGACAUGAAUGUAUUUGUGUUUUUGUUUUGGGCCUUGGUCCAGUUGUGGUAUAAUUGGCCCAACACAUUAAUAAAACUUCUAUUGCCGGUAAAAAAAAAAACAAAAAGAGAAAUCCAAAAUCACGUCAUUCUCCUCCACAACACUUUUAAGUGAAUCAAUAAAAAGGAAAUAUGUGUCGGUUUUUUUUUUCAGGAAAAAACAAUAUAUGGGCUUGGGUCUAUUAUAUAACAAUCCACAAAGUAAUUGUAAAUUAUGAUGUACUAAAAUUUUAAUCAUAACAAGUCACUUAAUUAAAUUAGACUUGCUAAAUUAAAUUUUCAACAAGUUGCACUUAUUUUUGAAUUUUUUUUUGGUAACAUGCUUUUUACUAUUUUAUUUAUGUUUCUGUCUAAGUAAUGUAUUUGAUUUUAAAAAUUCUAUAUUUCAAAUUUGAACUUUAUAUUCAACUUUACAUCAAAAUAUUUAUAGUAUAAUUACAUAAAAACUCACAAGUAUAAAUUAAACUCUAAUAUUUGACACUUUAAUGUUUAUUUUACCAAAUAAAAUGAAUAUGAGCACAAUAAAAAACAAUCUCAUAGCUUAUAAAUGGAGGUUAAACACAUUGAACAAGACACUCCAACGUCAAAACUUAAUAACCUAUGAAUAUAUAACAAGAAUUUAAACAAUUAAGUUUAUGGUAUUGUUAAAAAACAUAUAAUUAUGAAAAAUAAAACUUUUUACUAUUUUAUUUAUGUUUCUGUCUAAAUAAUGUAUUUGUUUUUCAAAAAUCUCUAUUUCAAAUUUGAACUUUGUAUUCAACUUUACAUCAGAAUAUUUAUAAUAUAAUUAAAUAAAAACUCACAAGUAUAAUUAAAACUCUAAUAUUUGACACUUUAAUGUUUAUUUUACCAAAUAAAAUGAAUAUAAGCACAAUGAAAAAAAUAUUCUCAUAGUUUAUAGAUGGAGAUUAAACACAUUGAACAAGACACACCAAUGUCAAAACUUAAUAACCUAUGAAUGGAUAACAAGAAUUUAUACAGUUAAAUUUAUGGCAUUGUCAAAAA